GGUUAGUCUAGAGCUGAAAAAAAAUGUUAAAGAUCAUAUGAUUAUGAAAAGAGAAAUAGAAGACAAGAUAUGAAACUAAUACUGAAUAAAAGUAUUUCAUCCAUUAACAUAUGAUGAUGCAUCUCUUUUGACAAGACUGAUAAUUUAUGGAUGUUUGUAAUAUUAUGGAUAUUGAACAUGAGAUUUUAUAUUUUAUUAUUUAUUUUUAUUUUUAGAUUAUAUUAUUAUAUUAGUGUGAUGUACAGAAUUCUUACUGGACUGUAAGGCUCACACCCCUCCAUUUUUUUUUCUUUCAGAAUUGUAGGAUGCUCAUAAUU
rnacentral:lncRNA from 1 species